AGUGAACGCUGGCGGCAUGCCUAACACAUGCAAGUCGAACGGCAGCACGGGAAGCGUUCGCCCCUACGGUUGGCGACGGGCGGGUGAGUCACACGUACAUCGCCAACCUCUAUGUCUUGGGGGACAACGGGGGGCAACAUACGCUAAUGGAUCAUACGUUGAACGGGGGAGAUCAAGAGUUCUCGGGACUUUGGGUGGCUCUAUUAGCCGGUGCCGGAUUAGCUAGUUGGUGGGGUAAAGGCACACCAAGGCGACGAUACGUAGCGGGUCUGAGAGGAUGAUCAGCCACACUGGAACUGAGACACGGUCCAGACUCCUACGGGAGGCAGCAGUGGGGAAUCUUGGACAAUGGGCGCAAGCCUGAUCCAGCCAUGCCGCGUGAGUGAAGAAGGCCUUCGGGUUGUAAAGCCCUUUUGUUGGGGAAGAAAAGCUGUGGGUUAAUACCCCGCUGUUCUGACGGUACCCAAAGAAUAAGCACCGGCUAACUACGUG
rnacentral:rRNA from 1 species